GAUGAACGCUAGCUACAGGCUUAACACAUGCAAGUCGAGGGGUAACGAGAGGAAAGCUUGCUUUCCUUGUCGACGACCGGCGCACGGGUGAGUAACGCGUAUCCAACCUGCCCCCAACUAGGGAAUAACCUUGCGAAAGUAAGACUAAUACCCUAUAAUUUCCUCAGAUGUCAUCUGACGAGGAAUAAAGAUUUAUCGGUUGUGGAUGGGGAUGCGUCUGAUUAGCUUGUUGGCGGGGUAACGGCCCACCAAGGCAACGAUCAGUAGGGGUUCUGAGAGGAAGGUCCCCCACAUUGGAACUGAGGCACGGUCCAAACUCCUACGGGAGGCAGCAGUGAGGAAUAUUGGUCAAUGGGCGGAAGCCUGAACCAGCCAAGUAGCGUGCAGGAUGACGGCCCUAUGGGUUGUAAACUGCUUUUAUACAGGAAUAAAGUUAGCCACGUGUGGUUAUUUGUAGGUACUGUAUGAAUAAGGACCGGCUAACUCUGUGCCAGCAGCCGCCGUAA
rnacentral:rRNA from 1 species